rnacentral:rRNA from 1 species
UACAGAGGUGGCGAGCGUUAUUCGGAAUUAUUGGGCGUAAAGGGCGCGUAGGCGGCUUGACAAGUCCCGGGUGAAAUCCCUCGGCUCAACCGAGGAACUGCCUUGGAAACUGUCUGGCUUGAGGCCGGGAGAGGGUAGUGGAAUUCCCAGUGUAGCGGUGAAAUGCGUAGAUACUGGGAGGAACACCGGUGGCGAAGGCGGUUACCUGGACCGGUUCUGACGCUGAGGCGCGAAAGCGUGGGUAGCAAACAGG